AAUCAAUCAAACCUUGGUUUGGUAUUGGGAGAAGUGGCUUUGCCUCUCUCCUUUAAGCUAUUGGCGACGCUAUUUCAGCUUGUAAGACGUAGUAAGUAAUUUCACGUUAAAGCAACUGGAUGGCUGUCUGCCAAAUGAACGAUUUAUUUUACA
rnacentral:misc_RNA from 1 species